UAGAGGGUUUAAAAGGCUGCAGUCUGACAUUUGAAUUUAGAGCUUAACAAAGAAACCUAAUGUUUUGAAACGCGUUGCUCAUUUUACCUAGCUCCUAUAUUUUGGAGUGUUUUGUUUUAGAUUGGCGUUAUAACCGUUAAGGUGAGGACUGCAGUACUUGACCACGAUAAGUAGGUCUUGGGUAUUUGUUUUAAGAAACAACUUGUACCUGUAAAAGCAAACUGCAGUACUUCACCGGGUUCCUGAGCCAUUUUCCUUUUAAGUUAACUGUGUGUAAGCACUCUGUUUUCCUGAGUUGCAGAGACUGAACGAUACCCUCGGUGGUUGGUGCACGGCACGGAGCAGUGCUUACAUUUCCGGAGGCCGGAUUCCUGAUACCUAAUAUGAGCGAAGUACCAUCGGCUACGUUAAUUUGCCUAUUCGGAACGGCUUGGUGCACAGACCUGUUUUGUGGUUCCAUUUACCGACAAGCUGAAGGCAUUCAUCGUUCUGGACUUCAUCUGACACACAAACUUUUUUGGGUGCUUGUUAGUACCUAUGUAUAUGUCUUUUAAUGUUUAAUCUUUUAACAUGUAUUAUAUAUGUGCUUGUUAAUAGGUCGACCUACUAAUCUUUUUUGUCAGUAAAUAAAUGUUAUUGUAUUUUAACGCA